GACGAACGCUGGCGGCGUGCUUAACACAUGCAAGUCGAACGGAAAGGCCCUGCUUUUGUGGGGUGCUCGAGUGGCGAACGGGUGAGUAACACGUGAGUAACCUGCCCUUGACUUUGGGAUAACUUCAGGAAACUGGGGCUAAUACCGGAUAGGAGCUCCUGCUGCAUGGUGGGGGUUGGAAAGUUUCGGCUGUUGGGGAUGGACGCGCGGCUUAACAGCUUGUUGGUGGGGUAGUGGCAUACCAAGGCUUUGGCGGGUAGCCGGCCUGGGAGGGUGAACGGCCACCAGGCGCCUGAGGUACGGCGCAGUGUCGAAUAGGGGACAAUAGGCGGAAACCUUGCCCAGUCAUCCCGAGUCUGUGGAGAAGGCCCCCGGGUCGUAAAGCCCUCUUUCGGGGUAUGAACCGCAUUAGGUUAUGACCAAGCGGUUUUGACGGUAAUAAGAGAAGAAGCACCGGCUAACUACGUG
rnacentral:rRNA from 1 species